rnacentral:rRNA from 1 species
AGGACGAACGCUGGCGGCGUGCUUAACACAUGCAAGUCGAGCGAGGCUCCUCCUUCGGGAGGAUGCCCUAGCGGCGAACGGGUGAGUAACACGUGGGCAACCUGCCCCUAGCACUGGGAUAACCCCGGGAAACCGGGGCUAAUACCGGAUACGACUUCGGAAGGCAUCUUCUGAAGUGGAAAAGGUUACUGGCUAGGGAUGGGCCCGCGGCCUAUCAGCUUGUUGGUGGGGUAAUGGCCCACCAAGGCGACGACGGGUAGCCGGCCUGAGAGGGCGACCGGCCACACUGGGACUGAGACACGGCCCAGACUCCUACGGGAGGCAGCAGUGGGGAAUAUUGCACAAUGGGCGAAAGCCUGAUGCAGCGACGCCGCGUGAGGGAUGACGGCCUUCGGUGUAAACCUCUUUCAGCAGGACGAAGCGAAAGUGACGGUACCUGCAGAAGAAGCACCGGCCAACUACGCGCCAGCAGCCGC